GGCGUCGUGGCGAAGUGGCAACGCAGCGGUCUGCAAAACCGCUAUACGUGGGUUCAAUCCCCACCGACGCCU
rnacentral:tRNA from 1 species